rnacentral:sRNA from 1 species
GCCGGGCCUGGUGGCUCAUGCCUGUAAUCCUAACAUUUUCAGAGGCUGAGGGAGGAGGAUUGCUUGAGCCCAGGAGUUCAAGACCAGCCAGGGCAACACAGGGAUACCUUGUCUCUGCAAAAAAUUUAAAAAUUUAGCCAGGCAUGGUGGUGUGUGCCUGUAGUUUCAGUUACUCAGGAGGCUGAGGUAGGAGGAUUGUUUGAUCCUGGGAGGUUGAGGCUGCAGCAAGCCAUGAUUAUGCCAUGGUACUGCAGCCUGGGCAACAGAGCCAGACCUUAUCUCA